GUAUCAUGGCUCAGGAUGAACGCUAGCUACAGGCUUAACACAUGCAAGUCGAGGGGAAACGGAUAGAGAAAGCUUGCUUUUUCUAGGCGUCGACCGGCGCACGGGUGAGUAACGCGUAUCCAACCUGCCCACCACUUGGGGAUAACCUUGCGAAAGUAAGACUAAUACCCAAUGAUAUCUCUAGAAGACAUCUGAAAGGGNUUAAAGAUUUAUCGGUGAUGGAUGGGAUGCGUCUGAUUAG
rnacentral:rRNA from 1 species